CCUCCCGUUCCAGUCUCAACCUGCAAACGUGUAUGGCAACAAGUGUUGGCAAGGAUGUGACAAAUUGUAGCCCCUACCCCUCCUUUCAUUGCUGGUGGGAAUAUAAAAUGGUACAGCUGCUGUGAAAAAGAGAAUGGGUUGUUGUGAGAAAGUGAACUUGACAUACAGCCUCAUCUACCUUGUCAGUAAUUCCAAAAGCUAAAACUGUCUUCGGCUGACCAAGACUUCCCACACGUGGAACCUUUACAUCCUUCCCCUACUGGGCCACAUUUCAACGUUCGAUACAGCCAAGAGUUAGUGAGUGCCUCCUAUGUGCUCUAUUUUAGGUUCCGAAGAAUACCAAGAGGGUGGGUUCUGAACACCUGCGGUUCUCAUCUGGCCCCAUAGCCUCUCACCCCUUCCUCAGGCCAGUGACAGACACCCGCUCUCUGACUCAGCACAGACACCAUCACAACUGGUCUCCUUCCUACACUUAGGGAUGUGACAGGAGGCAGUGGGACCAACUGCUGAAUGAAGGUGGACUUUAGACCCUAGGCAGCCCACCAUGGGAGUGCUGUCUGCUGUCAACUGUUGGCAUCACACCUCAGAAGCCAGCUCUAGCUUCCAGAAGGGCAUCUGAGGUGUAUGGGACAGAUCUCCCAAUGCCCGGAUGCUGGCCGCAAAUGCUAACUGAGGUAAUCGUAGGUCAAAAGUAUGUUGUUGGGUUUUCACAGUGGUGAUAGAUGGAUUGACAGGUAUAUAGUCAAAAUGAGAUUUUACAUAAAAAUCUGGUUUGCUGAUUUCUCUUGAAAAAUCUGAGGACCUUGCAACAAGUGGCCUGCACUCUGACAUGUCAAGAACUGGCUGAAGCUUGGGCUUCAAACCUUUUCCUUGGGCACAAAUUAUACUCUAGCACAUUCCCUGAAAAAAAUCACCUUAAAGGUGAUAGAUGCACUUACAAAAGAGAUCGCCUUUCUCAGGAAAAAAAAUUGUUCUUUCCUGCAAAAUGAAAAAUGCAGCAUCAGUCUAACCAGGAUCCUCUGUGCGUCUAGAAACAAACCCAAGGCAUGGCAAGCUGGGAGAAACUGAAAAAAAUUACACUAAAAUAAUAAAAAUGUUUGUGUCCUUAA